rnacentral:rRNA from 1 species
CCAAUAGCGUAUAUUAAAGUUGUUGCAGUUAAAAAGCUCGUAGUUGAAUUUCGGGAUCAAUAUGUUGGUCGUGCCAUUGGUACGUACUGGCAUUAUUGGUUUCUACCUUCUGAAGAACCUCGAUGUCAUUAAUUUGGUGUCUUGGGGAAUCAGGACUGUUACUUUGAAAAAAUUAGAGUGUUUAAAGCAGGCUUUAGCUUGAAUACAUUAGCAUGGAAUAAUGAAAUAGGACGUUCGAACCUAUUUUGUUGGUUUCUAGGAUCAACGUAAUGAUUAAUAGGGAUAGUUGGGGGCAUUAGUAUUCAAUUGUCAGAGGUGAAAUUCUUGGAUUUAUUGAAGACUAACUACUGCGAAAGCAUUUGCCAAGGAUGUUUUCAUUAAUCAAGAACGAAAGUUAGGGGAUCGAAGACGAUCAGAUACCGUCGUAGUCUUAACCAUAAACUAUGCCGACUAGGGAUCGGAUGAUGUUAAUUUUUUAAUGACUCAUUCGGCGCCUUACG